GUGCUCGCUUUGGCAACAUAUAUACUAAAAUUGGAACAAUACAGAGAUUGGCACGGCCCCUGCACAAGGAUGACAUGCAAAUUGAGAGAGAGAGAGAGAGAGAGA